AGCACAGGAGACAGACAAGAAAGAAUGUCUUUUUGCUGCUCUACACAAUAGAUCAGCUUUGCACACUGAAAGCAUGACCUUGAUUAAAAGUAUGUGACUACUUGGGUCCUGAUACAGCUUGAAUGUCAAAGGCUUGAAAAAGAGAAGUGUGAAAUCCUGUGGCUUUGUAUCAGAAAGAUUCAUUAAAACCUCUUUUGGUUUUGGA